GCCAGCGUGGCGUAGUGGCUAGACUGUUGGACUAGGACUCUGAAGAGCAGGGUUCGAAUCCUGGCUCAGCCA